GGGUCAGUAGAUUGGUCGUGCCACUGGUAUGUACUGGUCUUACUGGCUCCUCCUUCCUGAUGAACCGUAAUGCCAUUAAUUUGGUGUUGCGGGGAGACUGGACUGUUACUUUGAAAAAAUUAGAGUGUUCAAAGCAGGCAUAUGCUCGAAUACAUUAGCAUGGAAUAAUAGAAUAGGACG
rnacentral:rRNA from 1 species